rnacentral:rRNA from 1 species
GCAAGUCGAACGGAGAUUUCAGCAAUGGAAUCUUAGUGGCGAACGGGUGAGCAACGCGUAGACAACCUACCUUCUAGAUGGGGACAACACUGCGAAAGUGGUGCUAAUACCGAAUGUUGUAUGUGAAACGCCUGUUUCAUAUACUAAAGGUGGCCUCUAUUUAUAAGCUACCACUAGAAGAUGGGUCUGCGUCUGAUUAGCUAGUUGGUGAGAUAACGGCUCACCAAGGCGACGAUCAGUAGCCGGUCUGAGAGGAUGAACGGCCACACUGGGACUGAGACACGGCCCAGACUCCUACGGGAGGCAGCAGUGGGGAAUCUUCCCGCAUGGACGAAAGUCUGACGGAGCACGCCGCGUGAGUGAAGAAGGUUUUCGGAUCGUAAAACUCUGUUUUCAGGGACGAAUGUGCAUAUGUGGAAUAUGUGUUGUAAUGACGGGUACCCUGACAGGAAAGCCACGGCUAACUACGUGCCAGCAGCCCGCGGUAAUACGUAAGUGGCAGGCGUUGUCGGGAAUUAUGGGGCGUAAAGCGC